CUCCUUCCAGCACAAGAUCAUCACCUGUUUCACAGAGAGGGAGAUCUGUGAGUGACAAUGGGAGCUCUUAUAGCAUUAGCAGUGUUGCUGGGAACUUUAUCUUAUGGUCACUGUGUUGAACUCACACAGUCAGGAUCCAUGGUUUUAACACCAGGGCAGUCUCUGACCAUCUCCUGUAAAGUCUCUGGGUAUUCCCUGACUGAUAGCAGCUACUGUACUUUCUGGAUCCGGCAGCCUGCAGGGAAAGCUCUGGAGUGGGUUGGAUAUAUAUGCUCUAGCGGGGGCACUGCUUUUAAAGAUUCACUAAAAAACAAGUUCACCAUCACCAGAGACACGUCCAGCAGCACAGUGACUUUGCAGGGGAGCAGUCUGCAGACUGGAGACACAGCUGUGUAUUACUGUGCCCGAUACACACAGUGCAGCAAAGCCACAGCAGACCUGUACAAAAACCCACCCUGAUGAGUGUAGUGGCAG